GGGUUGUGAGGUUAAGCGACUAAGCGUACACGGUGGAUGCCCUGGCAGUCAGAGGCGAUGAAGGACGUGCUAAUCUGCGAUAAGCGUCGGUAAGGUGAUAUGAACCGUUAUAACCGGCGAUUUCCGAAUGGGGAAACCCAGUGUGUUUCGACACACUAUCAUUAACUGAAUCCAUAGGUUAAUGAGGCGAACCGGGGGAACUGAAACAUCUAAGUACCCCGAGGAAAAGAAAUCAACCGAGAUUCCCCCAGUAGCGGCGAGCGAACGGGGAGCAGCCCAGAGCCUGAAUCAGUGUGUGUGUUAGUGGAAGCGUCUGGAAAGGCGCGCGAUACAGGGUGACAGCCCCGUACACAAAAAUGCACAUGCUGUGAGCUCGAUGAGUAGGGCGGGACACGUGGUAUCCUGUCUGAAUAUGGGGGGACCAUCCUCCAAGGCUAAAUACUCCUGACUGACCGAUAGUGAACCAGUACCGUGAGGGAAAGGCGAAAAGAACCCCGGCGAGGGGAGUGAAAAAGAACCUGAAACCGUGUACGUACAAGCAGUGGGAGCACGCUUAGGCGUGUGACUGCGUACCUUUUGUAUAAUGGGUCAGCGACUUAUAUUCUGUAGCAAGGUUAACCGAAUAGGGGAGCCGAAGGGAAACCGAGUCUUAACUGGGCGUUAAGUUGCAGGGUAUAGACCCGAAACCCGGUGAUCUAGCCAUGGGCAGGUUGAAGGUUGGGUAACACUAACUGGAGGACCGAACCGACUAAUGUUGAAAAAUUAGCGGAUGACUUGUGGCUGGGGGUGAAAGGCCAAUCAAACCGGGAGAUAGCUGGUUCUCCCCGAAAGCUAUUUAGGUAGCGCCUCGUGAAUUCAUCUCCGGGGGUAGAGCACUGUUUCGGCAAGGGGGUCAUCCCGACUUACCAACCCGAUGCAAACUGCGAAUACCGGAGAAUGUUAUCACGGGAGACACACGGCGGGUGCUAACGUCCGUCGUGAAGAGGGAAACAACCCAGACCGCCAGCUAAGGUCCCAAAGUCAUGGUUAAGUGGGAAACGAUGUGGGAAGGCCCAGACAGCCAGGAUGUUGGCUUAGAAGCAGCCAUCAUUUAAAGAAAGCGUAAUAGCUCACUGGUCGAGUCGGCCUGCGCGGAAGAUGUAACGGGGCUAAACCAUGCACCGAAGCUGCGGCAGCGACGCUUAUGCGUUGUUGGGUAGGGGAGCGUUCUGUAAGCCUGCGAAGGUGUGCUGUGAGGCAUGCUGGAGGUAUCAGAAGUGCGAAUGCUGACAUAAGUAACGAUAAAGCGGGUGAAAAGCCCGCUCGCCGGAAGACCAAGGGUUCCUGUCCAACGUUAAUCGGGGCAGGGUGAGUCGACCCCUAAGGCGAGGCCGAAAGGCGUAGUCGAUGGGAAACAGGUUAAUAUUCCUGUACUUGGUGUUACUGCGAAGGGGGGACGGAGAAGGCUAUGUUGGCCGGGCGACGGUUGUCCCGGUUUAAGCGUGUAGGCUGGUUUUCCAGGCAAAUCCGGAAAAUCAAGGCUGAGGCGUGAUGACGAGGCACUACGGUGCUGAAGCAACAAAUGCCCUGCUUCCAGGAAAAGCCUCUAAGCAUCAGGUAACAUCAAAUCGUACCCCAAACCGACACAGGUGGUCAGGUAGAGAAUACCAAGGCGCUUGAGAGAACUCGGGUGAAGGAACUAGGCAAAAUGGUGCCGUAACUUCGGGAGAAGGCACGCUGAUAUGUAGGUGAAGUCCCUCGCGGAUGGAGCUGAAAUCAGUCGAAGAUACCAGCUGGCUGCAACUGUUUAUUAAAAACACAGCACUGUGCAAACACGAAAGUGGACGUAUACGGUGUGACGCCUGCCCGGUGCCGGAAGGUUAAUUGAUGGGGUCAGCGCAAGCGAAGCUCUUGAUCGAAGCCCCGGUAAACGGCGGCCGUAACUAUAACGGUCCUAAGGUAGCGAAAUUCCUUGUCGGGUAAGUUCCGACCUGCACGAAUGGCGUAAUGAUGGCCAGGCUGUCUCCACCCGAGACUCAGUGAAAUUGAACUCGCUGUGAAGAUGCAGUGUACCCGCGGCAAGACGGAAAGACCCCGUGAACCUUUACUAUAGCUUGACACUGAACAUUGAGCCUUGAUGUGUAGGAUAGGUGGGAGGCUUGGAAGUGUGGACGCCAGUCUGCAUGGAGCCGACCUUGAAAUACCACCCUUUAAUGUUUGAUGUUCUAACGUUGACCCGUAAUCCGGGUUGCGGACAGUGUCUGGUGGGUAGUUUGACUGGGGCGGUCUCCUCCUAAAGAGUAACGGAGGAGCACGAAGGUUGGCUAAUCCUGGUCGGACAUCAGGAGGUUAGUGCAAUGGCAUAAGCCAGCUUGACUGCGAGCGUGACGGCGCGAGCAGGUGCGAAAGCAGGUCAUAGUGAUCCGGUGGUUCUGAAUGGAAGGGCCAUCGCUCAACGGAUAAAAGGUACUCCGGGGAUAACAGGCUGAUACCGCCCAAGAGUUCAUAUCGACGGCGGUGUUUGGCACCUCGAUGUCGGCUCAUCACAUCCUGGGGCUGAAGUAGGUCCCAAGGGUAUGGCUGUUCGCCAUUUAAAGUGGUACGCGAGCUGGGUUUAGAACGUCGUGAGACAGUUCGGUCCCUAUCUGCCGUGGGCGCUGGAGAACUGAGGGGGGCUGCUCCUAGUACGAGAGGACCGGAGUGGACGCAUCACUGGUGUUCGGGUUGUCAUGCCAAUGGCACUGCCCGGUAGCUAAAUGCGGAAGAGAUAAGUGCUGAAAGCAUCUAAGCACGAAACUUGCCCCGAGAUGAGUUCUCCCUGACUCCUUGAGAGUCCUGAAGGAACGUUGAAGACGACGACGUUGAUAGGCCGGGUGUGUAAGCGCAGCGAUGCGUUGAGCUAACCGGUACUAAUGAACCGUGAGGCUUAACCUUACAACGCCGAAGCUGUU
rnacentral:rRNA from 1 species